CCUACGGGGCGCAGCAGUGAGGAAUAUUGGUCAAUGGACGAGAGUCUGAACCAGCCAAGUAGCGUGAAGGAUGACUGCCCUAUGGGUUGUAAACUUCUUUUAUAUGGGAAUAAAAUGUUCCACGUGUGGGAUUUUGUAUGUACCAUAUGAAUAAGGAUCGGCUAACUCCGUGCCAGCAGCCGCGGUAAUACGGAGGAUCCGAGUGUUAUCCGGAUUUAUUGGGUUUAAAGGGAGCGUAGGUGGAUUGUUAAGUCAGUUGUGAAAGUUUGCGGCUCAACCGUAAAAUUGCAGUUGAAACUGGCAGUCUUGAGUACAGUAGAGGUGGGCGGAAUUCGUGGUGUAGCGGUGAAAUGCUUAGAUAUCACGAAGAACUCCGAUUGCGAAGGCAGUUCACUGGACUGCAACUGACACUGAGGCUCGAAAGUGUGGGUAUCAAACAGGAUUAGAUACCCGUGUAGUC
rnacentral:rRNA from 1 species